GCCUGGGUGGCUCAGUCGGUUAAGCGUCCGACUUCAGCUCAGGUCAUGAUCUCACAGUCUGUGGGUUCGAGCCCCACAUCGGGCU
rnacentral:tRNA from 1 species